rnacentral:rRNA from 4 species
CCCCAUGUCAGGCGGGACUACCCGCUGAAUUUAA